UACGUAGGGCGCAAGCGUUGUCCGGAAUUAUUGGGCGUAAAGAGCUCGUAGGCGGCUUGUCGCGUCGGCUGUGAAAACCUGGGGCUCAACCCCCGGGCCUGCAGCCGAUACGGGCAAGCUAGAAUUCGGUAGGGGAGACUGGAAUUCCUGGUGUAGCGGUGAAAUGCGCAGAUAUCAGGAAGAACACCGGUGGCGAAGGCGGCGUCCUGGACCAAAUACUGACACUGAGGAGCGAAAGCCCAGGGGGAGCAAAACGGGGAUUAGAAAACCCCCCAGGUAGUCC
rnacentral:rRNA from 1 species